rnacentral:rRNA from 1 species
GAUGAACGCUGGCGGCGUGCCUAAUACAUGCAAGUCGAGCGAACAGACGAGGAGCUUGCUCCUCUGACGUUAGCGGCGGACGGGUGAGUAACACGUGGAUAACCUACCUAUAAGACUGGGAUAACUUCGGGAAACCGGAGCUAAUACCGGAUAAUAUAUUGAACCGCAUGGUUCAAUAGUGAAAGACGGUUUUGCUGUCACUUAUAGAUGGAUCCGCGCCGCAUUAGCUAGUUGGUAAGGUAACGGCUUACCAAGGCAACGAUGCGUAGCCGACCUGAGAGAGGGAUCGGCCACACUGGAACUGGAACGCGGUCCAGACUCCUACGGGAGGCAGCAGUAGGGAAUCUUCCGCAAUGGUCGGAAGCUUUGCGGAGCAGCGCCGCGUGAGUGAUGAAGGUCUUCGGAUCGUAAAACUCUGUUAUUAGGGAAGAACAAAUGUGUAAUUAACUAUGCACGUCUUGACGGUACCUAAUCAGAAAGCCACGGCUAACUACGUG